AGUGGUUUACUGACCAACAGCAGUCUCCAGUUCGGUAUUUAGUGCCUAGAAGAAAAGCAAUAAUUUAAAGUCUUUGACUGACUCUCAAUUCCAGGCUCCACUGUAGAGGUGGAGACCUGGAUCAGGAGAAUUUUUUUUUUCUAUAUGGAAACCGUUGUGAAGAAAGACACGGGAGGAAUCCAUAGAACCUUGCUGUGCCAAGGCCCCGUGAAACUCAAAUGUUUCCAGAAAACGAAAAAAAAAAAGACAUCUCUCCUUAUUUAAUGAUGUCUUGGUUGUGUUGCGUAUCCUGAAUAAAAAAGAGUUUAAGAUAAAGUGCAUCAUCCCACUGCAUCUCCUGUGGGUGGUGGUGGAUGAUGUGGCCCAACGCAGAAAAAAUGAAAUCUGUACUUGCAAGACCCUUUACCUGCAUUGUCCCAAUGGACACUUUUGGGCCACCUUUCGUUCACAAGAACAGAAAGAUCAGUGGCACUAUUUUCUUGAAAGAUCAAUUUAUGAAGCCAAGAAGGGUAUCAAGACAAAUUUAUCAUUGAAGAUACAUACUGAAGACAUCCGAACCUGUGACAGUACUUUAUCUGUAACAGCAACAAACCUCGAUACAGUGAAUGAUAU
rnacentral:lncRNA from 1 species